rnacentral:rRNA from 2 species
CUUGUGGAACGAGCGGCGGACGGGUGAGUAACACGUGGGCAACCUGCCUGUAAGACUGGGAUAACCCCGGGAAACCGGGGCUAAUACCGGAUAAUACUUUUCAUCACCUGAUGGAAAGUUGAAAGGUGGCUUUUAGCUACCACUUACAGAUGGGCCCGCGGCGCAUUAGCUAGUUGGUGAGGUAACGGCUCACCAAGGCAACGAUGCGUAGCCGACCUGAGAGGGUGAUCGGCCACACUGGGACUGAGACACGGCCCAGACUCCUACGGGAGGCAGCAGUAGGGAAUCUUCCGCAAUGGACGAAAGUCUGACGGAGCAACGCCGCGUGAGUGAUGAAGGUUUUCGGAUCGUAAAGCUCUGUUGUUAGGGAAGAACAAGUGCCGUUCGAAUAGGGCGGCACCUUGACGGUACCUAACCAGAAAGCCCCGGCUAACUACGUGCCAGCAGCCGCGGUAAUACGUAGGGGGCAAGCGUUGUCCGGAAUUAUUGGGCGUAAAGCGCGCGCAGGCGGUCCUUUAAGUCUGAUGUGAAAGCCCACGGCUCAACCGUGGAGGGUCAUUGGAAACUGGAGGACUUGAGUACAGAAGAGGAGAGUGGAAUUCCACGUGUAGCGGUGAAAUGCGUAGAGAUGUGGAGGAACACCAGUGGCGAAGGCGACUCUCUGGUCUGUAACUGACGCUGAGGCGCGAAAGCGUGGGGAGCGAACAGGAUU